AUGGCAGGACAAUCGGAGAAAAAACGAUUAAAAAAGGCUGGCGCAUUUAUUUUAUAUGCCUUAACAUUUUUUAGUAUUUUUUCGAUUGUUUAUAUCUUAUUCACGGUUUACUACAAACAACAAUUAAUUACAAGAAAUAUUAUUUUUUUACAUUGUCUUUUAUACUUUUGUUAUUAUUUCACAUUAAAGAAGAUUCAUUAUUGUUUGGAAAAUGGACUAAGUUAUACAUAUUAUUCAGAUAUAUUGAUUUUGUCUUUUAUUAUCAAUUUAGGCUUAUUUUACUCCUUUAAAUUUUUUUACAUAUAUAUUAUAAUACCUUUAUACGCAAUAUUCAAAGUUUUUAAUUUCAUUUUUAAAAAUUUUUUGAGUUCUCCGGUGAUGGGUGCUGCAGAUACAGCUAAUAAAAUGGAAAAAAAGGAAAAGCAAAAAACCAAAAUUGUGUAUAAGAAGGUUCAUUAAAAAACACAAUUUUUUUUUUUUGCUAUACCUAUAAAUGAGAUCACUAGGAAAAAGUAUAUGCAUUUUAGUAGCAUGUAUGGACUAAAAUAUUUGUUGUGUAUAGGUUCGAGGCUGUUUAUACAUGUAUAUUAUUUUUUGCAAAAUUGUUUGUCAUUUUUUUAAGUAAUAUGACCAAUUUGUUUUAUGUUUUGUUGAAUAUUUAUUUAUUUAUAUAUUUAUAUAUUUAUUUAUAUAUUUAUUUAUUUUAUUCAUUUUUUUUUUUUUUUUUUUUUAAAUAAUUCUUAAUUCGUUUCUUAAAAGCAUAUAUGAAAACAUAUAAAUAAAAUCAAUAUAUACAUAUAUAUUGAGACUAAA
ensembl:lncRNA